CCACACAGCCAAAACCCUAGCAGCGCUCGCGGCCCGCUCGCAUAUGGCCUCAUCCGCCGCCACGCUGCCGUAGCCCUCUCGUGGGCAGACAGCGACGCAUCGGCGCACGCUGCCGGCUCUCCGCCUCGCGCAACGGAGUGAGGGCAUGGCGUGCGUGCCCCUUUCUUUCCCUCCCCUUCUCUUCUUCCCACUCUUCUCGCGCCCUCGCAGGUUUUUUCCUCCAUCGUCGUCGGCCCAUCGAUGGCAGUUCGUCCCACAUCGAUUGCCAUAGGGGCAUCAUCAAUACUUCCUCCGUUUCACAAUGUAAGUCAUUCUAGCAUUUCCCACAUUCAUAUUAAUGUUAAUGAAUCUAGAUAGAUGUGAAACGGAGGGAGUACAUAGCAUCAUCUCGACGGUCUGCGAGCUUGAGCUUGAGAUGUGGUGUUUCCCCAUCUCAUGUGAAUCAUUUGAGCCUUCCGGAUCCCAACUCCUGAACCAUCCAAGGCGUAUCCGUCUCCAUCAUCAGGCGUUGCUGUUGUUUAGACAAGCUGAUCUACCGUCUCUCCUUUCAAGUUACAUAGUUCAAGUCGUCAUUCAUUACUUCGACAAACAGUCUGCCGAGUUCAUCAACUCAGCUGCUGGGGCCAUCACCGUCUCCUACAUCAUGCAGCUACUGACUGCAAUUUAUUUUCUAAACUUGGCUGCAAGGAGGAUAUGCAUAAUGUGCUUUUUAAAGAGGGACAAUGUUCUAGGUGUUUGCAAAGAGCACGUGUGAGGGCACAAAUCCAUACUAAGGCAGAUCGCCAACUUAUACUGUCAGGACAUAUGUGUUUUGGACUACUUGGGAGGGAGUUUUCAGCAGUAAUAUAUGCAACACAAAGUAUAUCUAAUAUACUUUCCAUCAGUGGGGAAGAGUAGUUUAGAUGUUGGGUUGAUGGUAAUUAGUAAGCCUCUGUGACGUGUUGUGGCUGUUAUGCUUAAUUCAAUGUUUAGUUUGUAGUUCUCUUGGACCUUAGAGCAAUUAUAUAUUAAUUGUUCAAUGACAUUAUCGACCGGCGCAGCGUAGCGCGCCACUAUUUCUAGUGGCUUUCUAUGACUCAAAAGCUAGUUGAUUUAUGGAGCACCGUUAUCAGGUUACCUGUUCGUAUUGGCCUCUUUUAGCGGUAUUUUUCAGAUAAUGGAUAAACCGGCCGUUGGAUCAAAGGUACAUUAUUAUACAUGUUCCAUGCUCUUCGGUUAGUAGUUCUUGAGUCCAUCCUCCAAAAAGACCGUCUGCGAUUAUCUGCUGCUAGCACUGCUGGCAUUGAGGUUUCCCCAACCUCACCCUCCCUCGCAAUAGAAGUUUUUUCCUUCUCAAUAGCUAACCUUUUUGUUUGCACUUUUUUGGGUUUUUUUUCCUUGUCCCCUGGCUACGUCCUCAUAACCUUUUG